rnacentral:lncRNA from 1 species
CCAAAAAUAAUAAACCCUCUCUUAAUCCAAAAAAGUAGAGUAUUUAUGGAAUAUAACAUCUAAAGUUAUUUCGCAUGACAAUCGAAUAUUUGUAGUUUCUAAUGGAGAUGGACAUCUAGGAUAUAUCACAACUAAACCCUAAAUUUUGAGGUCUAUUCGAAAACAUCAAGCUUUGAGGUGUAAAUAUAAAUCAUGAAAAGUUGAAGAGGUUUCAUUGUAAUUUACCCUUUCUCUGAUAUUUUUUAAAAAUAAUUAAAGUGC